rnacentral:rRNA from 1 species
CUCAGUUCGGAUUGGAGGCUGAAACCCGCCUCCAUGAAGUUGGAUUCGCUAGUAAUCGCGCAUCAGCCAUGGCGCGGUGAAUACGUUCCCGGGCCCUUGUACACACCGCCCGUCAAGCCAUGGGAGCCGGGGGUGCCUGAAGUUCGUGACCGCAAGGAGCGACCUAGGGCAAAACUGGUGACUGGGGCUAAGUCGUAACAAGGUAUC